rnacentral:misc_RNA from 1 species
AAGUCGUAACAAGGUUUCCGUAGGUGAGUAACCUCUAGCUCGUUUUAGUGUUUUUGUGAAUUUUUGCUAAUUUUCAAUUUAGGUGAACCUGCGGAAGGAUCAUUACCGAGUACUCCUGCUUGCAGGAACUCCCACCCGUGAUCAAUUCCACCGUUUGCUUCGGCAAGACGUUGGAAACGGGCCCAUUCGCCAUUGAAAAUUAAUACCCAAAUGACGAUGUGAGCUUGCCGAAGUCGUUAUACUCUUAAAACUAUGUAUUAGUCAGAGAAACCAGCAAUAAAUAAAAA